rnacentral:tRNA from 4 species
GCGCCUGUAGCUCAGCGGAUAGAGUAUCGGCCUCCGGAGCCGAGGGUCUGGCGUUCGAAUCGCCACAGGCGCGCCA